rnacentral:rRNA from 1 species
AAUCACGACUCUCGGCAACGGAUAUCUCGGCUCUCGCCACGAUGAAGAAUGUAGCGAAAUGCGAUACUUAGUGUGAAUUGCAGAAUCCCGUGAAUCAUCAAGUCUUUGAACGCAAGUUGCGCCCGAGGCCUCGGCCAAGGGCACGUCUGCUUGGGCGUCGCACUCCAAAACUGCCCUCCCCCGCGAGGAGCGUAGAUGGCCGUCCGUGUCCGCAAGUGGGGCGGUCGGCUGAAAUGAGCACGAGGUCCGUCGAUCCG